UGGGGAAUAUUGGACAAUGGGCGCAAGCCUGAUCCAGCCAUGCCGCGUGAGUGAUGAAGGCCCUAGGGUUGUAAAGCUCUUUCACCGGUGAAGAUAAUGACGGUAACCGGAGAAGAAGCCCCGGCUAACUUCGUGCCAGCAGCCGCGGUAAUACGAAGGGGGCUAGCGUUGUUCGGAUUUACUGGGCGUAAAGCGCACGUAGGCGGAGUUUUAAGUCAGGGGUGAAAUCCCGGGGCUCAACCCCGGAACUGCCUUUGAUACUGGAAGUCUUGAGUAUGGUAGAGGUGAGUGGAAUUCCGAGUGUAGAGGUGAAAUUCGUAGAUAUUCGGAGGAACACCAGUGGCGAAGGCGGCUCACUGGACCAUUACUGACGCUGAGGUGCGAAAGCGUGGGGAGCAAACAGG
rnacentral:rRNA from 1 species